CGGCUGUACCCCUUUCUUCCCGUCUUUUGUCUCUUGGCACCUUUUCCAACCCAUGACCAACGAACAUAUCUUGGAGCCAAGUAGCCCAACGGUGUUUCCGCCGUGUGCCCCCCCCUCGCUUUCUUUUCUCUGCGUCACGUUUGUUUGCAUACCUGGACGCGCGGACACACCUUAUCCUUGACAUGCAUACUCGUUGUGGGGGUGCUUUCUGUGAGCCAACACAGUCGCUGCUUCUGUCAUGUCGUUUGAGGACGUUAUUCUACGCAACGAUGUCGCAGGCGUACGUGCCUUCUUCAAUGCAGUUGCCAAGAACGCCGUAAAUGCCGUGAACGGGAGCGGCUACGUUCCACUGUACUUUGCGUGUAUGAAGCCGUCUGUGUCGCCGGAGGUGAUCAAAGAGCUGGUGCAACUAGGCGCUGCGGUGGACGGCAGGGGCACCGACGGCGAAACGCCCUUGUACAUUAGCGUGUACAAUCACCGCCUGGACGUGGCGAAGUACCUCAUCGCCCGAAAGGCAGACGUGAAUGCCGUGAACGGACCUCAUAGAGAAACUGCCCUGCACGUGGCAGCAAGGUGCGGAUUUGCAGACAUUCUGUCCUUCUUGCUGAGCGCCGGUGCCGACCUGAAUAUGCGCAACGCGAGGCAAGAAACUCCUCUGUACGUGGCUGCGCAAGCUGGCCGCCACGACACCGUGUACCUCCUACUCGAGGCCGACGCAAACGCCGCACUUGCGAACGAAGACGACAAGACGCCGCUUCACAUCGCCUCUGAAAAGGAGUACAAGCACGUAGUCGUACUUUUCAAGGCCGCACGCGCCGACUUGAAGCAUGCAAAGUCGCUCGCUGACACAGAGUGGCGGCUGCGUCCAGAGCCGAUGAUGUCGUCAGACCAGAUGCUGGACAAGGCUGCGGCUGACCAGCAGUUCGCGGCAGCAGUGCGUCGACGCUCUUUGGCUGGUGCGCCAGCGCCGGAUACGAAGCCGAUGGAGGUGGUGGAAAUCAAGGUGCCGGAGCCCCAGGUACGUAGGCAAAACCCCCUGACGGGAGAGUCGUACGGCCCUUGCCGCAGUCUGGAGGAGGUGGGCUACGAUUCGCCUCCACCAAUUCCGAAGGAGCUGCAGAACCGGCCACCGGCGAGGCUGUCGCGCAUUGGGGGCACGUCCAUGGUGGUCGGCACCGGCACCGAGGAGGGUGGUCGUGAGCCGAUCCGCAUCGAUUCAAUCGGCGGAGACGGCGUCGAGUACUACGCGCCACCCAACAAAUAGAGGCCUUCUUGCCCCUCCCGGUAUCGGCUAGCUGCGGCGCUGUGGAAUUCCUAAAGGGUCACGGUGCCGGCACCGUUUACUUCCGUUCAACAUCCCCACGUUUCACACCGCGUGUACGGCCUCCUGUGAGUGCUCGUCCUCGCCCUCCCCUCUUUCCCUCUGAUGUGAGAGGGACUCUUCACCGCUCAUGUAUGUAUAACCAGCAUACUUGUAUUGCUCUAUUUUCCCUGUGCCGAAAACAACAAAAAGGAAUCGAAGCCGACAGACACCGAAGCACUCUCAACACACAGGUGUGUGCUAUGUAUGUGCGGAUUCGACUCCCUCGCUGGCCGGGGCGUAUGCGUGUUGGGACCUCAUAAAAAAAAGCUACAGAAAGAUAACCGGAAUUGGGCAGGAGAACGGCAGAUGGCUAACCGUGGAACUGCCAUUUUUUUUUCCUUUCCUGCGUGAAAGUACGCCAGACCAGGCUUGUCGUG
rnacentral:misc_RNA from 1 species